CGUGUCAGUGAUGAUUCCAUGGUGAUAUGGCGUCAGGCAUGGCGCCCCGAACUGCAUGAGGAAAGGUCCCAUGCUGCCUUCCUUCUGACAACACG